ensembl:lncRNA
GCCUCCCUCCCUCAAGAGAACAGCCCUGCUCCCCUCAUCUAAACUCCUUCAAAUGCUUGCUCUAAAGCAUUGGCUCCAUUGCUUGCAAAAAUCGAAACAACCUUGAAAUCCUCUGGAAAGGAAAUCCCUUUCAGCUUUCUAUUUCUGUGAUUUUCUGGUUAAUUUUCAAUAAAUAGUGAAAGAUAAAAGAACCACUAAGCAAACGCUCCUGACCAGAGGCCUUGUGGACCCUCUUGAACGUAGAGCUAAGGGUCUCUCCGUUACACAUCAAGGCACACUGAACAACAGGGGACAUCUACUGAACACCUAUCAGGUGCCCAGGGCAGUUGUUGGCAGGCACCAAGGCUGAGCAAGCCUCCGGUGCUCAGCUCAGGAAAAAACCCAGGAGCCGUCCAGAGUCAGGGUGGCUUCCCGGGAGAGCGGCCUGUGAGGCAGCCACAGUCAGGGGCCCAGUGCUUGGCUUCCUGCUCUGCCAUCUCCAUAGUGAAUUUCCAAAUUACUUUCUCAUUGAUCUUGGGUUUUUAAUUGAAGUCUGUGGGGACAAGGGAGCACAUAUGUGAACACAGGAGAGGGAGGGAUGGGAGACGCAGGAGACCAUCUUUAUCCACAAGGAGAUUGACUUGGACCGCUCCAGCGGCCAUAGCAAACACGUGACUGAACCUCAUUCAGAGAGUCACCUGCAGAGCUCCUAGCUGCUCCAGCAACACGAGUCCAUGGCACAGUCUGGAGAUGGCCAGUCCAAGCUCAGAGUGGACGUUCCGGGGAGGGCUCUCUUCCUGGCUGGUAGACGUCACCUUCUUCUUGCUGUGUCCUUGUAUAACAGCUCUUGCAACUAAAGAAAGCAAUUUUACCACUACUGUGAUGAUUCAUUUUAUUUGUCAACUUGGUUGGGCCAUGAUGCCCAGAUACGUGGUCAAACAUUGUUCUGGAUGUUUCCGUGAAGGUGUUUUUGGAUGAGAUUUCCCUGACGUAGAUGAGCCCCACCCAAUCUGUUGAAGGCUGAAGAGCACAGAAAGCUGACCUCCCUACAAGCAAGAAAGAAUUAGGCAGCAAACAGCCCUCAGACGUCAUCUGCAAUGCCAGCUCUUUCUGGUUCUGCACCAAACUGUCUUUAGACCCAAACUACAGCUUUUCCCUGAGUCUGCAGACUGCUUACCACCUCCAUGGAUUUUGGACUCACCAAGCUUCCACAGUCCCGUGAGCAAAUUCCUUAGAAUAUGCACCUAUCUCUCUGCUAUUGUUUUGUUUCUCUGGGAACACCAACUAAUGCAAUCACCCUUAUCACAAACUCUGUAGAGGAUUCUCCAUGAGUCUCACGUUUCUGCACAUCCUCUGAGUAGAAGCAGUGAGAGUUUUUGUCCUGGAGCAUCUUGUCAAAGAUGGUUAAACAGUGAACAGCUUUGGAAGACAGAGACACUGUGACCCUCAAGGAAAAGGGCAGGUAUGCCUUCUGCUUCUAGUGAAAGGCAGCCUCCCAUCCCCCAAGUUCAGGUUCAUAUCCUGAAAUGCGAUCCACUGCAUGUGCAAAUGUCACCGGACCCUCCUUGAGUCACCCAGUGGGGCUGGGGAGUAGGAGAGCCAGAAUUGCUGAUACUCUGCCUACUGCUUUGCUUGAGUCAUAAGUCCUUUUGGUCUUUGACCCAGAGUACUCAUGUCUUCUGUUAGCAUUCAUGAAACUGGGACAGGGUAGCUUGGAAGCUUACAAAUAGGGUGAAACAUUAGAUCGUUCUCAGUUCCUGAUGGUCUACCUAAACUCUGCCAAAGGUUCUAUGAUCAAAUCUCAUCAAAUACAUUGUGUGGUGUCUUGAAAAUACAUCCACAAAUCCUUUGACAAUCCUGCUUUGAAAAGUACGUUUCAAUGCUGCUUCCCUGAGUGUCUGCUAGACUUUGUAACUUGCUUCUAAAGCAAUAGAAUGUGGCAGAAGUAUCCCUUGAAGGGAGGCCAAAGUGGAAGGAUCCCUUGAAGCCAGAAGUUUCAGACCAGCCUGGAAAACAGAGCAAGAACCUGUCUCUACAAACAAAAGUUUAAAAUUGGCCAGGUGUGGUGGCUCAUGCCUGUAACCCCAGAACUUUGGGAGGCUGAGGUGGGCAGAUCAUUCGAGGUCAGGAGUUCGAGACCAGCCUGGCCAACAUGGUGAAAUGCCAUCUCCACUAAAAAUAGAAAAAUUAGCUGGGUGUGGUGGUGGGCUCCUGUAAUCCCAGCUACUUGGGAGGCUGAGGCAGGAGAACUGUUUGAACCCGGGAGGUGGAGGUUGCAGUGAGCCAAGAUAGUGUCUUUGUACUCCAGCCUGGGCGACAGAGUCAGACUCUAAAAAAAAAAAAAAAAAAAAAAAAGUUAAAAAUUAGCUGGGCUCAGUAGCAGGUACCUGUAGUCCCAGCUACUCAAGUGGCUGAGGCAAGAUGAUAGCUUGGGCCCAGGAGUUCAAGACUGCAGUGAGUCACGAUUGCACCACUGCACUCUAGCCUGGGUGACACAGUGAGAUUCUGUGUCUAAAAACAGACAAGGGCAGAAAACAAGAAAACACACACGAGCCAUUCUGUGGAUGUUUUCAAAUAAGCAACUAUUUACUCUUUCUGUCGCUGUGUGUGACAAUAGCAAGGAAGAUCCUAUUUACUCUGGGGCUUCUUACCUGAGCAAUUAUACAGUGAAAGGAGCAAAAAAGAAAAAUAAAAUAAAACCCUGAACACCAGUUUAGGGAAUCCGAAAUGGCCAUUCUGCCUCUUGCUGAGAUCUGACCACAGCCAAAGGUGCUGCAGCUCUCUGAUUCUCAGGUGAUUUGGGAUGACUAGUGUAGUCAUACCUAGUAGUCUAAAUAAUUUUGAUGAUUAAAUGAGAAACAUGAUAGCAUUUGCUAUGUACUAAAUAUUGUGUAAAUGAAUUUAGAGUGAUGAUUUUCUUUAACAAAUUUAACCAUCUAGAAUUGUGUGUGGCACAUGUUAUGUAAGUAAUAAACCUUGGUCUCUGACAUUCUCCCAACACAGAAGAUUCAUGCUUGGAUAUGUGUCCAUGAUCUCAGUUUCUGUGCCUUAAAAUAAAAUCCAUUACUUCCUCUUUUUGUGAUUAUGGCGAACAGCUUCUUGUAACUGUGAUCUACCUUUUAAAAAACUUCAAUUUUUAUUAUUACAAAGCAACACACAUUAAUAUGAAUCAUUCUGAUGAAGAUAUAAAAGUUGCUGCUACCUCAGUGAUACUCUACCUCAGUGUGACUCUACCUCAGUGAUAAAGGAAACGUUCUCAUUUGGCCAGAGUUACCACAGUGGAAAGAACAACUUCACUCCUUCCCUGAGCACUCGUGACAGUACCUCAGGUCUCACAAAUAGGUUCAGGGGGUCCCAAAGGUGAGAUGCACAUGCCCAAGAGUCCGUACAGAGUGAUAUAUUGCAGUACAAGUAAAAAACAUUAGAACUUCUUUGCACAUUUAUUUUUAUCGGAUUCAUUAAUUACAUUUAUGUCUCUGAGUAUCCUUUAUAAUGCUCAAAAUACAACGGAAGACUUACAUGUCUAUACAUUGUUUGUUUCUAUCACUGUCUAAUAGCUCAUGGAAGCUGCCCAGCAGGAAGGGGCUGCCCCUGCUGG